ensembl:processed_transcript Gm17055 predicted gene 17055
CAGGUGACUGUAAUACCCUUCAGGAUGGAAAGGUACCUACUGGAGAAAUUAUUUUUCAAAUAGUUACAAUUUAUACAGGGGAAAACCAACAGAUUUCUCCUUUGUAUCACUUUUUGAGACAUGGUCUUGUUGUAGAAAAUUUUAAUCCCAAUCCGGGUUUGGAGGAGGAGAGAAGGGAGAAGUGGCCAUGGGUUAGGUGAGCCAUGAAACGGGGUCCUGCAGCUGGCCAAGUAGAGCUAAGAGCUGUCCAGAUGCAACAAAGUAGUAACUGGGGGUGAUCGGUAGGAAAGCAAAUUCUAAUAACAUAGAGGGUAGGUAUCUGCCCAGCUCUAGCACUGACGAAGGCUUGAAAGUUGUGUGUGUCUCUUAUCCGGGACUAAAUGGAAUAAGGCAAGGUAGAAAUCCCAAAUUGGGAUUUCUUUUUUACAACAGGGUGUCAUUAGCCCAAGCUAACUUUUUAUUAACUUUUAAUUAAAUUACAUCUAUAUCUAUAUAUUAUAUAGAUAUGUAACAUAUAAAAAUAUUUUUAUGAUUCCCCCCGAUUUUACCUCCCCAUUGCUGACAUUAAAGGCAAAUGGUGAUGCCACACCCAGUUUUAUGCUUUGUUGGGGACAGAACUCAGGCUUUAAUGCAUGGCAAGCAAACAAGAGAGUAAGCAGGCAGGCAGAGGAUUUCAAGAUCAACGCCUACCUGAUGUAGGGAGCUUGUAAAUAACUAAAAAACUUUUUUAAUUGAACAAUUUACAUAUUUUGUUAUUUACAGCUACAGAGCAAGUAACGAUGGAAACUUACUGAUUAAAUGAUUUUAAGGAUGUUAUUUUCCUGAACUAUGAACCAUGCAGGCAGAAUUGCAGAUAUCCACUCCUGGGGGGGAGGGGCUGGGGACACACGAGAGGACAUAUCCUCCUUUCUCUGACAGAGGGUAUUUCCUAGUGGAACUAUAGUUUUGGCGCAACCAUGACAACGCUUCCCCCUUAGAGUCACAGGAAGGUCGCAGCCCUUCCUCACCCCCACCCUACCCCAAGAGUGCCAGGACACAUCCAAACCUCUGGUCCUGCUGCUCACCUCCUGGCAGGAAGGUGGGAGCAUUCAUUCCCUCCAGAGAGAUUGGUGAUAACCAGUCAGCCAAACUACGUCUGUCUGGGGAGGAGGGAUGGAUCUCUAAGCCCCAAAGUGAGGUCAGCCAGUGAACAGUUAGAAAAGCAAUCAUUUCUCACACUUACUAAUGGGUUUGACGCUUGUGAAACAUAAACAGGAAGUAGAAGCUUGAGCGACCUGAAGGAAAUGCACUCCCAGUUUGAUCAACAUGUGAAUCCCAGUCCUCCAGGUCGUCAGAACACUGACAAUGACGACUGACCCUCCAAACUGCACCCCGUCCUAGCAGUGACCUCAUUUUCCCCCCAAUUCCCCAGCCAGGUCACUCCGCAGCGGGGUGACUGACCCUAAGCACGGUAGGAAGGUUAACAGUCAUCUCUCAACUCCCCGAACUUGCAGGGCAGGGGAGCGCAGAGGUCAGUGAAAUCCCCAGCCAGGCCUUAUUUUAGUCAUGAAUUUCCACUGGCCCCUUGCUGUGUGUCAGCGCUGCUCACAGCGCCGCAGGUUCUGCGUUUCAGAUGCUUUCCCAGCUCCGGGCUGUUAGAAGGUCAAAGAGACCAGAUUUUUCCAAUGCAGGUCGGUGGAGGUGGGGCCGGACGGCCUCCGCGAGAUUGAAGGGAGCUGGGGCCCCUGGUGCUGCCCCUUUGUGCCCCGCGCACCGGCCUGUGGAUUAACCCCUGCUACCUAAACCUCUUGGUUAGUAUUAAAUGAAAACUUUCUCAUCUUAUAUUCCCUGCCAGUGGCCCUGUUAGACUUUCUGCUGAAGGCGGUCUUCUGGUUGGCCUCGUUGGCUCCUUCCCAAAGGUCCUUGUAAAUUCAAGGUCAAAAUCCGUGUUUGCUACCUCCACUGUCUCCAGCCGCGAGCUCGACUGGGUAAAGGGCUCAGUGAACGUGCGCUGCAUAAAUGUGGAGAUUUCACUGUGAUCAACCAAGAGGAUGGGGCGGGAGGAGGGACCGGGGGGUGGGGGGGCGGUGGGCGGCGGCGGGGGGUCCUGCUUUCUCCUCUCUCUCCUGUCCUGGAAUAGACUGCAAACAGCGCCACCCAAGUUCCUGGUUAGCAGCGGGAUCCCAUGCAGAUCCCUGGCAGCCCGGUGCGCGGGGGUCUAGGCUUGGAAGCGGGCGCGGAGAGGCUUGCAAAUGA